CCACGAGGUUGUAAGCUGGUUCUCCUGAGCCAGAAAGUUCCGUGGAGAAGCGGGUCUUCACUGAGAGAGGGUCACACACCCACAAAAGGCAACAUUUCAGCAUCAGGUGCAAGAAAGCCCAGAGAACUCAUCCUGCACGGCAGGCAGAAGGGAAUCCUAGGCCCGAGGUCCCUUGGGAGCAGGGACUGUGUGUGGUUCCCCGUGGUACUGCAGCACCCGGCACGUUGCGGGGCCCUGGAAGGGGCUCCACGAACUGCUUGUUCAAGAAAUGAGCGGGAGAUGGACUGGGGGGCCCCUUCUGUGCUGCCCAGGCAUCUUCUUCUCUUUCUGGCUCCGUGGUCCUAUGUUCCAUCUCUAAAUGGAGACCAUAGUGCCUGUCUGGAGUAUUUUUUUCUUUUUAUUAAGAUUAUGAUAGUUUACAACCUUGUGAAAUUUCAGUUGUACAUUAUUGUUAGUUGUGUUGUAGGUGCACCACUUCACCCUUUGUGCCCUCCCCCCACCCCCCCUUUCCCCUGGUAACCACCGAUCAGUUCCCUUUGUCUAUAUGUUAACUACCACCUAUGAGUGGAGUCAUACAGAGUUUGUCUUUCUCUGUCUGGCUUAUUUCACUUAACAUAAUACCUUCAAGGUCCAUCCAUGUUGUUGUGAAUAGGACGAUUUUGUCCUUUUUUAUGGCUGAGUAAUAUUCCAUUGUAUAUACAUACCAUAUCUUCUUUAUCCAAUCAUCAGUUGCUGGACACUUAGGUUGGUUCCAUGACUUGGCUAUUGUGAAUAAUGCUGUGAUGAACACAGGGGUGCAUGGGACUUUUGGAAUUGCUGAUUUCAGGUUCUUAGGAUAGAUACCCAGUAGUGGGAUGGCUGGGUCAUAAGGUAUUUCUAUUUUUAACUUUUUGAGAAACCUCCGUACUGUUUUCCAUAGUGGCUGCACCAGUUUGCAUUCCCACCAACAGUGUAUGAGGGUUCCUUUUUCUCCACAACCUCUCCAACAUUUGUCACUCUUGGUUUUGGAUAUUUUUGCCAUUCUAACAGGUGUAAGGUGAUAUCUUAGUGUAGUUUUGAUUUGCAUUUCCCUGAUGAUANNNNNNNNNNNNNNNNNNNNAUAUGAGGCUUGUAUUUUUACUGGCAUAAUAAU
rnacentral:lncRNA from 1 species